UGACGUUCGUUCCUCUCUCUGCUCAGAGUUCCACAGGGAGAUUUUAGAACGUCACAGACAAACGGGUCUCUUCGCCCAGUCGCCCUCUCACCACAGGGCGCCUGGUUUUGCGGGAUCCUACAAAC